rnacentral:rRNA from 1 species
ACGGACGAACGCUGGCGGCAUGCCUAACACAUGCAAGUCGAACGGAACUUGUUGAAUGAAGUUUCGGAUGGAUUUUAAUAAGUUUAGUGGCGGACGGGUGAGUAACGCGUGAGCAACCUGCCUUUCAGAGGGGACAACAGUUGGAAACGACUGCUAAUACCGCAUAACGUAUCGAAGAGGCAUCUCUUUGAUACCAAAGAUUAUAUCGCUGAGAGAUGGCCUCGCGUCUGAUUAGCUAGUAGGCGGGGUAACGGCCCACCAAGGCGACGAUCAGUAGCCGGCCUGAGAGGGUGAACGGCCACAUUGGGACUGAGACACGGCCCAAACUCCUACGGGAGGCAGCAGUGGGGAAUAUUGCACAAUGGGGGAAACCCUGAUGCAGCGACGCCGCGUGAGCGAAGAAGUAUUUCGGUAUGUAAAGCUCUAUCAGCAGGGAAGAAAAUGACGGUACCUGACUAAGAAGCCCCGGCUAACUACGUG